rnacentral:rRNA from 1 species
GACGAACGCUGGCGGCGUGCCUAAUACAUGCAAGUAGAACGCAGUUGCGACCGGGUGCGUAACGCGUAGGUAACAUGCCUCAUAGCGGGGGCUUACUAUUGGCAACGAUCGCUAAUACCGCAUACUUUUAGAUUGACCUGCGUUGUAUUAGCUAGUUGUUGAGGUAAAGGAUCACCAAGGCGAAGAUACAUAUCCGACCUGAGCGGGUGAUCGGCCACACGGGGACUGAGACACGGCCCAGAAGCCGACGGGAGGCAGCAGGAGGGAAUCGUCGGAAAUGGACGGCAGGCUGACCGCGCAACGCCGCGGGAGUGAAGAAGGUUUUCGGAUCGUAAAGCGCUGUUGUUGGAUAAGCUGUAACUAACCAGAAAGGGACGGCUAACUACGUGCCAGCCGCCGCGGUAAUAC